GACAGAGGUGCCGAGCGUUAGGCGGAAUCACUGGGCUUAAAGCGUGUGUAGGCGGAUGGGUAAGUACGUUGUGAAAUCCCACGGCUCAACCGUGGAACUGCUCGGUAUACUGCUCGUCUUGAGCCAACUAGGGGCGACCGGAACAAACGGUGGAGCGGUGAAAUGCGUAGAUAUCGUUUGGAACGCCGAUGGUGAAAACAGGUCGCUGGGGUUGUGCUGACGCUGAGACACGAAAGCCAGGGGAGCGAACGGG
rnacentral:rRNA from 1 species